rnacentral:rRNA from 1 species
AUGAACGCUGGCGGCGUGCCUAAUACAUGCAAGUCGCGCGAACAGACGAGGAGCUUGCUCCUCUGACGUUAGCGGCGGACGGGUGAGUAACACGUGGAUAACCUACCUAUAAGACUGGGAUAACUUCGGGAAACCGGAGCUAAUACCGGAUAAUAUAUUGAACCGCAUGGUUCGAUAGUGAAAGACGGUUUUGCUGUCACUUAUAGAUGGAUCCGCGCCGCAUUAGCUAGUUGGUAAGGUAACGGCUUACCAAGGCGACGAUGCGUAGCCGACCUGAGAGGGUGAUCGGCCACACUGGAACUGAGACACGGUCCAGACUCCUACGGGAGGCAGCAGUAGGGAAUCUUCCGCAAUGGGCGAAAGCCUGACGGAGCAACGCCGCGUGAGUGAUGAAGGUCUUCGGAUCGUAAAACUCUGUUAUUAGGGAAGAACAAAUGUGUAAGUAACUAUGCACGUCUUGACGGUACCUAAUCAGAAAGCCACGGCUAACUACGUG